UACGGGGGGGGCAAGCGUUGUUCGGAAUUACUGGGCGUAAAGGGCUCGUAGGCGGCCAACUAAGUCGGAUGUGAAAUCCCCAGGCUUAACCUGGGAAUUGCAUCCGAUACUGGAUGGCUUGAAUCCGGGAGAGGGAUGCGGAAUUCCAGGUGUAGCGGUGGAAUGCGCAGAUAUCAGGAGGAACACCGGUGGCGAAGGCGGGUCUCUGGGCAGUAACUGACGCUGAGGAGCGAAAGCGUGGGGAGCGAACAGG
rnacentral:rRNA from 1 species